GGGUGAUUUUCUAUCUCGGGUGUCAUGGACUCGCGAUUUCCAACCGUAUAAAUCUAUGAUGGGUUUCUGACCAUCUUUUGGCAUCGGCUAUCUCGGUCAUGAUCACUAAACGAAUAGUGGGUAUGAGAUUUAUCGAUACACUAGAGGUUGCAAAAUUUUUGUGAAAAUAUUCUGUGAUUUGGUUAGCCGACUAAAUGAAAACUUCAUUUCACUUCAAACUACGACUACUGUAUUUAUCAAAUCUUUAAUUUGCCGCAUUAUUUAGAAAAAUGGCGAUACUGGAAGCUAUUGUCAAAUGAUUGUCAAAACAAACUACAAGGAACCAUCCAAAACAGAGAUUGAUUUUGGUGUGUGUUUUUAAAUAAUUACCUGAAUCCUGUGUUUUAAUUGUUCAUUAUAUCUAAGGAUGGCGCCUUUAAGAAAAGUCUCAGAUCGACAAAUGGACAUUUUGUUGGAGUUCGUUGAAAGACAUAAAGAGCUUGCUGUUGGCCGGUACCCUCCCGGCCCAUUAGGCAUACAACCAGCACGUUGGCUAUGGGACAGUGCAGCAUUACAAUUAUAUGAAUUAUAUUCAAUAGGGUCUGGAGUUACAAAAACUGGUCAAAAAUUCUGAUGGGCAUUCACAUGUAAAGUGGCAAUGUGCAAUCAUAACUUAAACAAGGUUAAAGUAGAAAAAAUAUUUUAAUAAUGAUUAUAGUAAGACUGGUAGAAGCAAAAUGUGAUAGGAAGUUAUGUGAUUUAAAAUCAAAAAUAAAAGCCAUUAAUAUAAA